UACGAAGGGUGCAAGCGUUACUCGGAAUUACUGGGCGUAAAGCGUGCGUAGGUGGUUUGUCAAGUCUGAUGUGAAAGCCCUGAGCUCAACCUGGGAAUUGCAUUGGAUACUGGCAGGCUAGAGUGCGGUAGAGGAUGGCGGAAUUCCCGGUGUAGCAGUGAAAUGCGUAGAGAUCGGGAGGAACAUCCGUGGCGAAGGCGGCCAUCUGGACCAGCACUGACACUGAGGCACGAAAGCGUGGGGAGCAAACAGGAUUAGAAACCCGCGUAGUCC
rnacentral:rRNA from 1 species